rnacentral:rRNA from 1 species
CCUACGGGUGGCAGCAGUGGGGAAUAUUGGGCAAUGGGCGCAAGCCUGACCCAGCAACGCCGCGUGAAGGAAGAAGGCUUUCGGGUUGUAAACUUCUUUUCACAGGGACGAAGCAAGUGACGGUACCUGAGGAAUAAGCCACGGCUAACUACUUGCCAGCAGCCGCGGUAAUACGUAGGUCGCGAGCGUUAUGCGGAUUUGCUGGGUGUAAAGGGCGUGUAGGCGGGGAGGUAAGUCAGAUGUGAAGACCACGGGCUCAACCGUUGGCUUGCAUUUGAAACUGUGUUUCUUGAGUACUGUAGAGGUAGACGGAAUUCCUAGUGUAGCGGUGAAAUGCGUAGAUAUUAGGAGGAACACCAGUGGCGAAGGCGGUCUACUGGACAGCAACUGACGCUGAGGCGCGAAAGCGUGGGGAGCAAACAGGAUUAGAUACCCGUGUAGUC